AAACAAGACAACACAUACACACUGGAUUCAGGUCUACAUGUGGAGAUAAUUCAUUCAAUACCAAUAAAGGGUGCAUUUCCAGUGCUAAAGGUAAAGGAAGACUGUCUAUUAAGAACAUCUGGUGUACUGAAUGUAAUUACUACAUGUUCAUUUAUUUGUUUGCAUGUGUCAUUUCAGGAAGAGACAUUUUAUGAUGCAAAGAGAAAAAGUAGACAGAAAAGAUAUAAAGGCAGAAGAUACCACGGUCUUGAGGGUAAGUGAUUGUAACAGAUUCUCUUUGGCAAGAAUAUUUUUGACAAUUUAAUGAACAUUAGAAAAGCUUUGUAUAGUAUGGAUAUAUCGACGUGCCAUCAGGGUGAAAUGUUUUGCUUUAUUAAAAUAAGCUUAUCUGUAUUACUCAAUAUUUUCAAAAGUGCUAGAUAUCUUUACAGGGCUAUAUAAAUGCACUUUACUUAUUUCCAAGAUAGUCUUCCUUUAUAAGUUUGAGCAGUAUAAUAAUUUAAGUGAAUAUGUGCCAUUAAAUUGAUGAGAUUGAUUUAUCAGUGACAUUAAUAAACCUUUUUCGUAUUCUGCAAUGAAAAGCUUGAGGUGAGCACUAAUGUAAUGCAAAACCUUUAAGAACAGGCUUUAUGCAGCCAUUUUAAUUUCUCUCACCUCCCAGCGUGCAGAUGGAAAAUGCAGUGAGGCUCAUUCCCCGCUGUAUAUUUUUCACAUGUGUUCAGCUAAUUAAAGAAUAAGUAGGGUAACACAUUUCCUCCCACAACACUUACUGUGUUGUUCAUUCACAGCCCUUUUCUUUAUUGCGAUUACAAUAUCUGUGUUCAGCUUUCAGCCAGCUGAACAAAGGCAAGGAGCUCACAGAGCUCAUUUUUGGCAUUCCUGUUCUUCACCUUGGUUAUUUAGAUUUUGUUUUCAAAUGAAGGGUUAUUUCAUUUUUAUGUAGACCCAUGUAGACCCAGAGUAACUUCACUGUUAACUGAGACCACAGACUCCUUUUGGAAGCAUCUGAUCUCUGCUUUUUGCUGAUUUGGGGUAACCUGCUGGGAGUCUGGAUUUAUAUGUUUGUGAAUCAGUACUACUUUGAUGACUACAUCUCCCAAUUGUUCCCUAUUAGGUUAAACCUCAGUGGUACCAUAAAUGAAAAAAUGGACUUGAACUGGGAAGUUACAUAUGUAUAUAUAUCCAGUGAAAAAAACUAACAGGAAAAAUAUUGCUAGAAAGACAUUUGUCAUCUGUUGUCUCACUGUUUAUUAACUAUAAAUUACAGAUGGCACUUUGAACAUUUGGAAUGCUGAAGAAGAAUAGUUACCUUUGGCAAAAGGGUUCCACAAUAAUAACAGAGUCAAUUAGCUGGCAGCAUUCAUUAAUGAAGUGGAAAACUGACAUGCCAAAAAUACUCUGCAAGGCUAAGUAUUACAGCAAAUAUCUGCUGAUUACUCUUUGCUUCCUGGAAGAUGAAAAGAAAAAAAAAAUCACAAUGAAAAUCCAGAACAGGUCCUACUGGAGCUUAUGUCCAUAAGAAACAUGAAAUGGAGAAUAUUCAAAAAUGCUAUUGAACUUGGGGUGUUAUAACUGGUAAGCACCUUUAGAACCAGAAUGUUUUAUUUUCAUGGCCAAAUAAGUCUCUAGUUUGACAAUUUUGGCCAACACCUCCUAAAACGAUUAACAGUGAAGAAAAGGAAGGAAGACAGUUAUUGAAGAACUACAUCAACUGUACUUUUGAGGUAAGCAUUAACCAGUUUUUGUAUUCUGAGAUGAAAACCAGUUGGGCUAGAAACGAUUAUGAAAAUUCGGAAAUUUGUACUGACUAGAAAGCAUGCUUUUUACAGCCAUCUGAAAUGAAGUUGGCAUGACAGCCACUUAAAAAAAAAACCCCUUCAUUAAAUAUAGAAUGCUAGUGCCUUUUAGUCUUUAAUCACGAGCAAUACUUGGCUUUAUGCAGAACAAAGGAAAAAUUAGAAAUGUAUCAAUAACAUUAUAGAAGACAGAGCUCUGCUUUGUGUAGAAUACUUGUGUAAGCCUGAUUGCUCAACUCUUGGGAUUAUGAACCCAGAAUGAAUGCAGGAAAGGUUACUAGGAUGAUAAAAGAAGUUGAAUCUAUUUAAAAAGUGAAGACUAGGAAAGUUUGACUUGUUUCGUCUAGCAAACUGAUGACAGAAGGUAUCACCUUCUUGAAUAAAUACAGCAAGGAGCUAAGCCUCCUGCCAUCCUAAUGGACAAUACUGGUACAAGAACAUAUGGGUGUUAACUGGCUACUGGGAAAUUUCAGCUGGAAAUUAGAAGAUGGUAUCUAGGCUUUAGGGCAGUGAGGUUGUUAGACACUUUCCAUUUGUCACAAAACACACUGAUGCUUUACAGAUGUAGUUUAUUAACUGGUAGAAUAAACUACAGUAUGUUUCCUGCAAUAAUGGAGCAUUGGAUGCAGUGACUUGGAAGGGCUUUGAGGUCCUGAAGUUACCUUGUAAUUAGAUAAAGCUCUAGCAGGGGGUGUAAAAUGUUUCCAUAUGUGACAGAGGCCAAGUCCCCUGUGCUUCCUUUCCUCUGUUAUGCUCCUGGUUAUGCUGGGGCACCUGAUCAUCCCCCAACUGGUGGAGUGGGCUUCAAAUACAUAUUUGAGCCUGUCUCUAUUUUUGUAAAGAAACAACAGUUGCAGGGCAUGUUUCUGAGUAUGCUCUGCACUCCCAGUACAUGGAUAUUUCCUUGGCUUUUGUCUGAUGCACUGGACUGUAAAUAGAUUGCACCGUAAAUGGAUUAAAUUUUUUUAGACACUUAGCACAACAUAUGUUUCAAUCUUGAGAGCUGCCUUUCUGCUGCCAGAAAACAUUAAUCCAUUUUACAUAUAUGCAUUUAGUUAACAUAUAUUUCUUGUUCUCUUCAAUGUUUUUCUGCUAAACCAGUGUUUUGUGGUUCAUGCUAUUCUGGUAAUUUUGAUGCCGGUAACUGCUGGAGUACAGGAAAACAUUUAGUGUAUCAGUCCCAGUAUGUUACCACUUGACACAAUUAAGUAAGGAGGAAAAAAUGUUAGUUUGUUGUGUUUUGCAGCUGGUCAGUCUGAUUCAGCAUCUCAGCCAGCCACCCUGCAGCAUUUCUCCCCAAGUAUAUCCAUCUUGCUCAAGUGAAAACUGCCUGUGUGGAACAGAUGAGAUCUAAAAGUGGAAAAUAGCACUAGCAAACAGGAAUAAUGGAAAAUUGGUGUGAUUUUGUUUGCGUUUGAUUUUUAAAGUAAGAAAGACUGACUAGUGAUAAGCAAUCUGAUCUUUCUGAAGCCAAGAUUCAGAAGCAAGGCUGUCAGCUUUUCUGUCUGACAAAGAACCUGUCUUCUGCUACCAACAGAUAACUUGUUUUGGUGAGAUAAUACUGUAUUGGUAUGUUGGUCAGACUUGUUGCUAAACAUUUUCAUAUUCCAGGUGAAUUCAGAGGAAAUAAUUUGCUUAUAUACUAUAAAGAAAAGCUGACUAUGCUACAUUAUCUUUUGUAUUUAAGGCAGCAGAAAAAAGUGAAAUAGUUCAUGAAUGAAUGAUUGUACUACUUCCACUCUGAAACUGCAAUACAACUUUCAAUUUUAUUACUACUACACAUAAUUAACCAUAGCAACAGCACAAAAACAAAAGCUGCACAUUAAGCAAUUCACUCUCAACACAGGGCCUGCUCCAAGUUAUGAUUUGGAGUGAAGAAACCUCUAAUAAUUACAAAGCACUUGGAUGUAUGCAUGGACUGUGAAACAUAAGCAGGAGGACUGUUCAAGUUCAGAGGUGGGUCAUCAAUACUUAAGGUAAACAAAGAGACCAGUUUUUAAACUUCGUUGCAUUUCUAUGGGUAUUGCUCUUUUACAACAACUGUGCUGUGUGAAACCAAGUCUUUGUCUCAAAGUUAACUAAGAUACAGGAGUGCUCUAGUAGUCUUGCUCAGGUAAGUAAAUGCUACAUGGUGUAGAAAAAGCCACAGUUAACUCAAAAACAGUCCAUCAUCUGAUCAAACAUUAGCAAAGAAAAAAAAGAAAUGGCAAGUAAUGAUUAAAUCAAUUUUGUGAUAGUGUCUGCUUCUCCCCUGCCUCCCCUCCAUGUUAGUGCACUAAAUUUUUGCUGUUGGCCUGGUCAGUGAAUCAUUUUUACAUCCCUCUGUGCUUACAAAAAUAAGCUAUGUAAAAAGCCCUCCUAUGACUGAAAUGGAAUUACUUUUUGUACUGGCUACAUGAGGUGCUAUCCAAGCCACUCAGACAUAGCACACAGAAUUGCACUCAGCACCGUGCCAGCUGGGAAGCUGUCAGUGCUAUAUGGCCCUUCCAGCAGAUCAUGUGGUUCACCUUAACCAGAAAGUAUUCUGCUUGUUAGACCUGUCAGAAGCACAGCUUAGGGUCCUUAGGCACACAGCUCUGACCAGCAGCCUAAAGCACUGUCACACACUGGCAAAGUCAUGCAAACACUGAAGGGAAUGGGGAAAAGUCUCAAAAUCAGGCUGCACAUGGUUUACCAACCAUUGUGAAAUGACAUGAGCUUCUUACAGUGCUAGAAAAUGCUGCUUUCAGUUCUGAGUACCACAUGUCAGAAAAGACACAGAUAAGUUGAAUAACAAUAAGGAGUGAAUGGUUCAGAAACUAAAAAUCUCAGAGAAGAGAUAAUGACAGCUAGAUAGGUUUAAUGUGAAGGAAAAAGGGAUUGCCAUGUUAGAUGUGAUCAUUGUUUUUGGCUGAUUCAGGAACUGUCAAAUCCCUUACAAACUCACAGAAGCAUUGACUCUCUGAGCCUCCCUGACUAUUUUCCAGUGCAAUGAUUUUAUUGAAACAAUCUUGAUUCUGUUGCAGAAAGCAUGAUAAAAUUAUCCACUGAAGCAGGCUCACGAAUUUGAUAAUCUAAUUGUUUUGUUUCUAUAAACUGAACAAUUUCCCCCCAUUCUAAUGCUAUGCACUUACAUCUUUGAGAUAACAUACUAUUAUUGUAGGGAUGAAGUUCUGCUGAAGCUUCAGCUAUUACGACCAUUAAAACAUGAAAUGUCAUCACAUGAAACAAUGAUAAACACACAAGGAAGGGUAGCAUCAUUUCUAAACUAAGGUUGCAUGAGACAGCUAUUAGUGUCACUUUUUAAUUAAAAGCACAAAGUAUAUUUCAAGAAAAGUGCAUUCACAAAUCAUUAAAUUAUAUUUUCUUUUUCAUUUUCCGCUCACUCCAUGCUCCUCCUCCAUACACUAAGGCAAACAAAGGAGAUUUCAUUGUAACCUUAGAAAUUACCUGCUUCAUAACAAAUAGUAUGGCUCAUUACCAUGAUCUCAUCAAAUGGGUCAAACUAAGUUCACACAUUUCUUAAUAACCCUUUUCCUUGUUCAUAUGUAUUUCAUGAAUAAUGAGAUAUUCACAAUAGCUGCAGAAAGACAAAACAUCUUCAUACAUACUCUUUACAGAUAAAUUGAUGAGGAAAAACAAUGAAAAGAUCUCAGGGUUCAGACUGUGAAUGACAGAUAUGCAAAUGAAACAGGUUGCCUGUAAGUCAGAAAGAAUAUUGGCAUCCUUUAUUAUAUUCAUAAAAUUCCAUCAUUUUUAUAGAACACUAGAACAUCAGUUCCAAAUGUAAUGCCUGCACUCUGAAUUUGCACACUUACAAUAAAAUGAAGACAUAAGGCACACUUACAAUGCAUUAAAAGACACAACAAUGCAUUACAUUCCAUGGCAUUUACAGAUACUUCUUGAGGACAUGGACAAUUGAUAUUUUAUGGAUUGUUUGCCCUCAACUAAUCUGCUUAUGUUUCCUCUUUUACAAUUUAUGCAUGUCACUGAGGAAAACAAGACUCUAGUAAACAUCUGCUUUCUAGGCAAGGAUCUGAAUAGUCAUAUUCAUACAUUUAUCUCCUUUAAAAAUAAAUGCCAUGUCGCUUUAUUUGCCACCAACAACUGUCUAAGAAGCAUAUUUAUUUUUCUUUGUAUGGCUUAUGUUUAUGUGACUUAAUGCUUCUGUUGUAUUCAAUGAAGAUGCCUCACCAGUAAACUAAUGGGUACACUCCACAGAUAUUCCAGAUUCAUACAGUGCAAUGUUUUCACAACACAGAGCACUAUGGGAUCACUGUAUGAAUCCUAGAA